GCGCGUAGGCGGAUAGUUUAGUCAGAGGUGAAAGCCCAGGGCUCAACCUUGGAAUUGCCUUUGAUACUGGCUAUCUUGAGUUCGGGAGAGGUGAGUGGAAUGCCGAGUGUAGAGGUGAAAUUCGUAGAUAUUCGGCGGAACACCAGUGGCGAAGGCGACUCACUGGCCCGAUACUGACGCUGAGGCGCGAAAGCGUGGGGAGCAAACAGGAUUAGAUACCCUGGUAGUCCACGCUGUAAACGAUGAGUGCUAGUUGUCGGCAUGCAUGCAUGUCGGUGACGCAGCUAACGCAUUAAGCACUCCGCCUGGGGAGUACGGUCGCAAGAUUAAAACUCAAAGGAAUUGA
rnacentral:rRNA from 1 species